CCUACGGGAGGCAGCAGUGGGGAAUAUUGGACAAUGGGGGGAACCCUGAUCCAGCCAUGCCGCGUGUGUGAAGAAGGCCCUCGGGUUGUAAAGCACUUUCAGUGAGGAAGAACGCCUGGUGGUUAAUACCCAUCAGGAAAGACAUCACUCUCAGAAGAAGCACCGGCUAACUCCGUGCCAGCAGCCGCGGUAAUACGGAGGGUGCGAGCGUUAAUCGGAAUUACUGGGCGUAAAGCGCGCGUAGGUGGCUUGAUAAGCCGGUUGUGAAAGCCCCGGGCUCAACCUGGGAACGGCAUCCGGAACUGUCAAGCUAGAGUGCAGGAGAGGAAGGUAGAAUUCCCGGUGUAGCGGUGAAAUGCGUAGAGAUCGGGAGGAAUACCAGUGGCGAAGGCGGCCUUCUGGACUGACACUGACACUGAGGUGCGAAAGCGUGGGUAGCAAACAGGAUUAGAUACCCUUGUAGUC
rnacentral:rRNA from 1 species